AUCCAGUUGACGAGUCCCAAAUAGGAUGAAAUGUGCAUCCUGACAGGAU
rnacentral:hammerhead_ribozyme from 1 species